rnacentral:rRNA from 1 species
UGGGGGAUAUUGCACAAUGGGCGAAAGCCUGAUGCAGCGACGCCGCGUGGGGGAUGAAGGCUUUCGGGUUGUAAACCUCUUUCGCUAUCGAACAAGGCCCGCUUAGGGUGGGUUGAGGGUAGGUGGAGAAGAAGCGCCGGCUAACUACGUGCCAGCAGCCGCGGUAAUACGUAGGGCGCGAGCGUUGUCCGGAAUUAUUGGGCGUAAAGGGCUUGUAGGCGGCUUGUUGCGCCUGCUGUGAAAACGCGGGGCUUAACUUCGCGCGUGCAGUGGGUACGGGCAGGCUUGAGUGGUGUAGGGGUGAGUGGAAUUCCAGGUGUAGCGGUGGAAUGCGCAGAUAUCUGGAGGAACACCGAUGGCGAAGGCAGGUCACUGGGCCAUUACUGACGCUGAGGAGCGAAAGCAUGGGUAGCGAACAGG